AAAUUCUAAAAAUCUUUUGACCUACAAAUUUAAACUAUAAAUAAACAAAAUUGGAUAAGUAUUCUAUGCAUAAUAAAGAGUAUCUUUAAUUAUAGAAAAUAUAAUUUUUCAUAUACUCCAACGAUGCCCUCUAUUUUGAUUCUUCAUUUUACUUUUCUCAAAAAACAUUUAUUAAUUUUUCCUAACAUUUGACUUAAUACUUUUUUAUGUCAAUGGUCUAUCCGUUGGUCUCAGGAUUAUUCUUUUCUAAAAAUCGAUUGCAGCAAAAUAAUAAAAAUUUAUAGAAUCGUAAAUAACACAAGUAUUUUUUGCCUCUAAGGGCCCAGAUGUUCAACCAAAGGCCUAUUCACCCGUUGAGCAUCUACAAAAAGAAAUUAGGCUCGAAUCCACUAAGAAUCGAUACAAGAAUGUAUGAAGAAACUGUCAUUUCUUUAAUAUCAGAUUUCUAUCGCCUCUCUUUAACAUAACACUCAGUUUCUACAAUCUCACAGAUUAUAUACCAUAUACAACCCUAACAUCACUCAGAUUAGAGAUUGCUUUCAGAAAUUACACAAACAAAACGAGUUUAGAAAAUCCUCAGAGAGAAGACGAAGAAAACCCUAGAACCAUUCACUUAGAAUUGGAGUGAAAAUGAAGAGGCACAAGGCCUUUUAACAGACCACCAAAAAAUCAACAAUCCAACGAUCAUAAAGGUGUCAGGUGUAUGGUCCACAGAACUUGCAAAUUAAAAGAAAAAACGCGUAUACGAAGAACGCCUUUUAUUUCCAAAAAUCAAUUCAACCCGGCUAGGCCCAAUGUUUCUCAAGUUGGGCCAACCAAGAAUAGGGAGACAGCCCAAUCAACACUAUCAAUUCAAAUAUAAAUUGAAUACGGAUAAUGUUAUCCAGCACAUUAAUGUUGCAAUUCCAUUUUUGUUCCAUAAUUAUAUAUUAAAUAUAUAAAAAAUAAAUGAUAAUUUUUCGUACACCAUUUCCACAUGUAAUCUUUUUUUGUCCCCCUUCCAAAAUGAUAUUUUUACGUUUUUAUCUUGCGUGCAACAUAGUUAAACUAAGUUUCUAUCUUCAGACGACUUCAAAUAAAGAAUUAUAAUUCCAGAUGAAAAUAUACCUGUUUUGCCAUGGCUGAAAUUUUGAGGCUGAAAUUUUGAGUGAAUCUUGGUCCAAGUUUCAUGGACCUAACUUUAAAACCUACAUUAAUAAUGAAUUAUGAUUGUUGUCAAUACCUUGGCGUACACAUAAAUUUAUAAUACGAAGAAAACAUCACCAAUCACCAUCAUGGGGUUUUUUCUCUCUGUACUGAAACAUAAAAAUUAGUCAUUCAUUGCCGCUGCAGCAUCAUCAAGAUUCACUAAUCAAAGAGCCACAUGAACCCUAGAAAAAGUUUGGUGAAUCUUGAUGGUGACACAUCAGCAAUAAUUGACUGGGUCUUGAACUUGAGAGAUGUUUGUUCUCGUCAUGUAUUGUCUUGGUACAGUACUAUAAUAAAGAACUUGAAGGUGUACUGAAUACUAAAAUCGAAA
rnacentral:lncRNA from 1 species